ensembl:lncRNA
GCUGCUUUUUCAAAUACAUUUUUCAGCAAGAAAUACCCAUUUCCCUCCUGGAUUAAUUGCAGCUCUGUUGCUGAUGGCUUUCGCAUGAAGUUCAGCUGCUGCUUGCAGUGGGUGCCGUUCUUUUUAAUUAGGGUGUAGGCUGGUGAGGUCCAGCUCCACCCCAGAGACAUCACGGGAAGGGGUGGAAUCCAUCAGACAUCAAACAAAUGGCUUUGGGUGAGCGCAUCCUACAGCCAGCACAGACAUAAUUGUGGGGCUCAUCGCUCCCAAUGGGAGCCGGGGAAAUCAAGAUGCGACUCAAGAUGACAUUUCCAACCAUCCCUGGAAAUGGGAAAAAGUCAUCCACGUUAGAAGACUGCAUUUGUGAAUAGUGGGAUCAUGCAUCUUAGAAGUUUCUUCUGCCUGGCAGUUGCCCAAGUACCCCAAAGCUGAACACUGGAUGCCCACAGGGUGUUUCUCCUGUUGCUACCUAACACGGUAUGUUACAGGACCUAGCCACUGAUUCUUAAAAUCCUCUGUUGAGGGCCAACAGCAUGCAAAGCACUGACCUGGCUGUGGAUGCAGAAUGAACACAGCAAGCAAGGUCCUGGCUUUGUAGGUGUUC